rnacentral:rRNA from 1 species
UACAGAGGUCCCAAGCGUUGUUCGGAUUCACUGGGCGUAAAGGGUGCGCAGGUGGGUUUGCAAGUUUGAUGUGAAAGCCCCGGGCUUAACCCGGGAAUGGCAUUGAAUACUGCAGAUCUGGAGGAUUGGAGGGGGGACUGGAAUUCUUGGUGUAGCAGUGAAAUGCGUAGAGAUCCGGAGGAACACCGAAGGCGAAGGCAGUGUCCUGGCGCGUAACUGACGCUGAGGUGCGAAAGCCAGGGGAGCGAACAGG